rnacentral:rRNA from 1 species
CCUACGGGAGGCAGCAGUGAGGAAUAUUGGUCAAUGGGCGGGAGCCUGACCUAGCAACGCCGCGUGAAGGAAGAAGGCUUUCGGGUUGUAAACUUCUUUUCUGAGGGACGAAGAAAGUGACGGUACCUCAGGAAUAAGCCACGGCUAACUACGUGCCAGCAGCCGCGGUAAUACGUAGGUGGCAAGCGUUAUCCGGAUUUAUUGGGUGUAAAGGGCGUGUAGGCGGGAAAGCAAGUCAGAUGUGAAAACUCAGGGCUCAACCCUGAGCCUGCAUUUGAAACUGUUUUUCUUGAGUGCUGGAGAGGCAAUCGGAAUUCCGUGUGGAGGGGUGAAAUGCGGAGAUAUACGGAGGAACACCAGUGGCGAAGGCGGAUUGCUGGACAGUAACUGACGCUGAGGCGCGAAAGCGUGGGGAGCAAACAGGAUUAGAUACCCGUGUAGUC